CCUACGGGAGGCUGCAGUGAGGAAUAUUGGUCAAUGGGCGGAAGCCUGAACCAGCCAAGUAGCGUGCAGGAUGACGGCCCUACGGGUUGUAAACUGCUUUUAUACGGGAAUAACGCGCCUUACGUGUAGGGCUUUGCAUGUACCGUAUGAAUAAGGACCGGCUAAUUCCGUGCCAGCAGCCGCGGUAAUACGGAGGAUUCGAGCGUUAUCCGGAUUUGUUGGGUUUAAAGGGUGCGUAGGCUGUCGGAUAAGUUAGAGGUCAAAUGUCGGGGCUCAACCCGGGCCUUGCAGCGCGAACUGGCGUGCUUGAGUCCGCGGAAAGCAGGCGGAAUUCGUCGUGUAGCGGUGAAAUGCUUAGAUAUGACGAAGAACCCCGAUUGCGAAGGCAGCUUGCUGCAGCGGAACUGACGCUGAUGCUCGAAAGCGCGGGUAUCGAACAGGAUUAGAUACCCUAGUAGUC
rnacentral:rRNA from 1 species